CCUACGGGAGACAGCAGUGAGGAAUAUUGGUCAAUGGGCGAGAGUCUGAACCAGCCAAGUAGCGUGAAGGAUGACUGCCCUACGGGUUGUAAACUUCUUUUAUAAAGGAAUAAAGUGAUCCACGUGUGGCUUUUUGUAUGUACCUUAUGAAUAAGGAUCGGCUAACUCCGUGCCAGCAGCCGCGGUAAUACGGAGGAUCCGAGCGUUAUCCGGAUUUAUUGGGUUUAAAGGGAGCGUAGAUGGGUUGUUAAGUCAGUUGUGAAAGUUUGCGGCUCAACCGUAAAAUUGCAAUUGAAACUGGCAGUCUUGAGUACAGUGGAGGUAGGCGGAAUGCGUGGUGUAGCGGUGAAAUGCUUAGAUAUCACGAAGAACUCCGAUUGCGAAGGCAGUUCACUAAACUGCCACUGACAUUGAGGCUCGAAAGUGUGGGUAUCAAACAGGAUUAGAUACCCGGGUAGUC
rnacentral:rRNA from 1 species